rnacentral:rRNA from 1 species
UCCUACGGGAGGCAGCAGUGGGGAAUAUUGGACAAUGGGGGAAACCCUGAUCCAGCGACGCCGCGUGGAGGACGAAGGUCUUCGGAUUGUAAACUCCUUUUCUCCAAGAAUAAGAAACCUAUAGAAAUAUAGGGAGUGAAUGUACUGGAGGAAUAAGCCACGGCUAACUUCGUGCCAGCAGCCGCGGUAAUACGAAGGUGGCAAGCGUUACUCGGAAUUACUAGGCGUAAAGCGCGGGUAGGUGGUUCUGUAAGUCAGUUGUGUAAGCUCCCGGCUCAACUGGGAGAGGUCAACUGAUACUGCAGGACUUGAGUGUGGGAGAGGAUACUGGAAUUCCCGGUGUAGCGGUGAAAUGCGCAGAGUUCGGGAGGAACACCAAAGGCGAAAGCAGGUAUCUGGACCACUACUGACACUGAGCCGCGAAAGCUAGGGGAGCAAACAGGAUUAGAUACCCUGGUAGUCCUAGCUGUAAACGAUGCACAUUAGACGUGAGGGGUAUUGACCCCCUUCGUGUCGCAGCAAACGCAUUAAAUGUGCCGCCUGGGGAGUACGGCCGCAAGGUUGAAACUCAAAUGAAUUGACGG